rnacentral:rRNA from 1 species
UGAGGAAUAUUGGUCAAUGGACGCAAGUCUGAACCAGCCAAGUAGCGUGCAGGAUGACGGCCCUAUGGGUUGUAACCUGCUUUUAUAUGGGGAUAAAGUGGGGAACGUGUUCCCUUUUGCAGGUACCAUAUGAAUAAGGACCGGCUAAUUCCGUGCCAGCAGCCGCGGUAAUACGGAUGGUUCGGGCGUUAUCCGGAUUUAUUGGGUUUAAAGGGAGCGUAGGCCGUUUGGUAAGCGUGUUGUGAAAUGUAGGAGCUCAACUUCUAGAUUGCAGCGCGAACUGUCAGACCUGAGUGCGCAGAACGUAGGCGGAAUUCAUGGUGUAGCGGUGAAAUGCUUAGAUAUCAUGAAGAACUCCGAUUGCGAAGGCAGCGUACGGGAGCGCAACUGACGCUGAAGCUCGAAGGUGCGGGUAUCGAACAGG